CCUACGGGUGACAGCAGUGAGGAAUAUUGGUCAAUGGGCGCGAGCCUGAUCCAGCCAAGUAGCGUGAAGGAUGACUGCCCUACGGUUUGUAAACUUCUUUUAUAAAGGAAUAAAGUGAGGCACGUGUGCCUUUUUGUAUGUACUUUAUGAAUAAGGAUCGGCUAACUCCGGGCCAGCAGCCGCGGUAAUACGGAGGAGCCGAGCGUUAUCCGGAUUUAUUGGGUUUAAAGGGAGCGUAGAUGGGUUGUUAAGUCAGUUGUGAAAGUUUGCGGCUCAACCGUAAAAUUGCAAUUGAUACUGGCAGUCUUGAGUACAGUUGAGGUAGGCAGAAUUCGUGGUGUAGCGGUGAAAUGCUUAGAUAUCACGAAGAACUCCGAUUGCGAAGGCAGCUUACUAAACUGACACUGACAUUGAUGCUCGAAAGUGUGGGUAUCAAACAGGAUUAGAUACCCCUGUAGUC
rnacentral:rRNA from 1 species